rnacentral:tRNA from 1 species
AGGGUGCUAGUAACAAGAAUUACAUCGCCUUGUCAAGGCGGGAUUGUGGGUUAAAGCCCCGCGUACCUUA